AUGACAGUUCACGAUUGAUUCCCCA
rnacentral:rasiRNA from 1 species